rnacentral:rRNA from 1 species
UACGAAGGGGGCGAGCGUUGUUCGGAAUCACUGGGCGUAAAGGGCGCGUAGGCGGCCCCUCUUAGUCGCGUGUGAAAGCCCCGGGCUCAACCUGGGAACGGGCGCGCGAAACGGGAGGGCUGGAGUUCGGGAGAGGAGAGUGGAAUUCCCAGUGUAGAGGUGAAAUUCGUAGAUAUUGGGAAGAACACCGGUGGCGAAGGCGGCUCUCUGGACCGAGACUGACGCUGAGGCGCGAAAGCGUGGGGAGCAAACAGG